AAAGUUAGCUCCAACAUGUUGUUUUCCUGAAAGUGUCUUGUUCGGCGUUCAGUUGUUCUAAAAGACACUCAGAGGAGUUGGCGGUUCAAUUAAUUCCGGUGACAAAGAGGCUCGCUGGUGCUGCUUCUGAAAUGGCUGCCUGGGUUACCAAUGUUGGUGUAUUGGCUUUCCAGGAUGGCGGCAGGAUUGAUGACACCGGAGGUGCCUGCCGUCUCAUCGAGGCAUAGUGGUCCUAGUUGGAGGGGAAGCACAGGAUGCUCGGCCUGACUGUUGCCAAGGUGAUCCUGAGGAUCUCCUGGGAGGAGUGGAGGCUCCACUGUUGGAGGAGGACACACGGGGCGGAGGAGACGGUCCUCCUCAUCCAGGAUCUCCAUGUCACCCUGGACGUCCCUUUGCUGGAUUCUCUCCACAUCUAGGACAUAUGGAGACACAGAGGUGUCACCUCAGCUGCACUCAGGACCCAGCAGCCAGUGCCAAGUACUUCCAAGCUCUUGGCAACACCUGACAGACAGAGCAGAGAAACAGAGAGUUGUCUUCCCUCCCAGAUACCAGGAGAGGCAGCACAGGUGACAGUUCAAGA